UGUAUUAUGUUUAAAGUUUUGAAAGCCAAACUGAAAUCAGAAAUUUACAGUAAAUAGGAAUAGUUUUGAAUUAUAAUAUAUAAACAGGUGUACAAAUGCAAGCCUAUUAUUAUUAUUACAAGACGUGACAAUUUAAGCCUUUAAAUAAAGCUAUAUAGCACACUCCAGUGGCUGUUUUUGUAAAUAACAGUUUUGUCGUUGUAUCGUUACUACAGUGACACCUAACGGUUGCCAAAGUCUAUUGCGCUCCACUCUACACAAGUGUUCCUAUUAGCAACCAAAGUCUGAUUGACACACCUGAGACUGAUAACCAAGUCAGGGAAACUCAGAGGAGAUACAAAUGAACCACAACAGUAUUUGGCUUUACCUCUAAGUAAAAUAUUGCACAAUUAUAUAUUUCUCUAGCCAGUGCUUUGGUCAAAUCAUGGCACUGAAUGUUAGCUUCUUCUUUGGGUUUCUCUUGCUUUGCUUUCAACUGUGCAAGGUGCAUGGAAGUUAUGUUUCCACUGAUCCACAAGGUGCCAUUGAGACCGAGUGUCGUGAUCGAUAUUUCUUGGUGUCUGUUGAUGUGGGUUUUUCAGGCCGUCUCCCAAGAUUUGAGGCUGUAGGUACGCUGCUUACUUGAUGUUAAUCUGUACCACAAAUUAUUACACAAUAUGUUUUAAUCCUCAUUAUCAGUACAUAUUUUUAAGUUGAAAAUGGAGUGCAUACAAUUAGUCAGGGUCAUGGAUCCAUGUGUGGCUACACGUUGAACUACUUGAACGGUCGGGCGUCUCUGAGGGCUUCCUAUUUCUCCUGCCACACCGAA